rnacentral:rRNA from 1 species
CAGUCGCCGCGGGAAUACGAAGGGGGCUAGCGUUGCUCGGAAUGACUGGGCGUAAAGGGCGCGUAGGCGGCGGCCAAAGUCAGGCGUGAAAUUCCCGGGCUCAACCUGGGGGCUGCGUUUGAUACUUGGUUGCUUGAGUGGGGAAGAGGGUCGUGGAAUUCCCAGUGUAGAGGUGAAAUUCGUAGAUAUUGGGAAGAACACCGGUGGCGAAGGCGGCGACCUGGUCCUUUACUGACGCUGAGGCGCGAAAGCGUGGGGAGCAAACAGGAUUAGAUACCCGAGUAGUCCCUGUCUCUUAUAC